UCGUUCUUUCUUAGUAUAAUAUGGUUUUGAGACUUGUUUCUGUCCAAGAGGAGUUUGAGCAUGAUGAUGCAUUGUCUAAAAAAAUUGGAAAGUCUAUUCAUGAUAUAAAUAAUUCUGAGUCUGAAAAAAGAUUGCUUAUGUUGCUUAUAUCUUUAUUGGUUAUUAAAAUAUUGGUAUUUUGUUUCUGCACACAUGCUAAGUACCAAUGUCUUUGUGUUAGUGUCGGACAAGCAACAUUCCAUGAAAAGUUUCUAUUGCAAGAUGUUUGCUUUUUUUGCCAUUUGGCUCAUCAUUAUUUUGUUGCUUCAUUAUAUUAGUCUGUUGAAUUAUAUUUUGUAACAAUUAAUGUACAAAUUCACAGAUGGAAAGACAGAUACAGCUAAAGAAUCAAAUGGCACAGAGACAAAGAGCUAUGGAAAUAGCGAAGAAUAGAGAUAUUUUUCUGUAUUCUUCAACAUUCUUUGUGGCUGCUGCUGUGGGACUGUUCACAGGUCAUUUGCAGACGAAAAAUCAUCGCUAAGAUGACCACGAACCCGACGAACGCUAGGAAGGAGGAAAAGAAGAAUGUCCCCAUUAAAACGGUCAAGAAGAGCCCCGAGAAGAAUAUGUCGGAAAUUGACGAGCAUAUCCUGAAGAGGUUCGAUAUAAAAAAGAGACUCGGUAAGGGCGCUUACGGAAUCGUGUGGAAGGCAGUGGACAAGAAAACCAAGGAUGUUGUAGCGAUUAAGAAGAUUUUCGAUGCAUUUUGCAACCAGACAGACGCUCAGAGGACUUUCAGAGAGAUCAUAUUCCUCCAGUCGUUUCGUAAUCACCCGAACAUUGUUAAACUGCACAGCAUACACAGGGCCCUCAACAAUAGAGACAUCUACUUAGGAUUUGAAUACAUGGAGACUGAUUUACAUAACGUCAUAAAACGUGGCAAUAUACUGAAGGACAUUCACAAGCGGUACAUAAUGUAUCAGAUGCUGAAGGCGACGAAGUAUAUACACUCGGGCAACGUCAUACAUAGGGAUCAGAAGCCGAGUAAUGUGCUGAUAGACAGUGCUUGCAGGGUUAAGCUAGCUGAUUUCGGACUGGCUCGGUCGGUGUCAUCUCUGUAUUCUGGCGGGGAGGGAGGCGCGGACCCGUGCCUCACAGACUAUGUCGCCACACGCUGGUAUAGAGCUCCGGAGAUACUCAUUGCUAGCAAAAACUACACAAAGGGAAUAGACAUGUGGUCUCUGGGUUGUAUAUUGGGGGAGAUGUUGACGGGCAAGCCUCUGUUCCCCGGAAGUUCUACGGUCAAUCAGAUCGAAAGAAUUAUGUCCGUUCUCCCGAGACCAUCGAGCGAAGAUAUCGCUGCAGUGUGUAGUGGUUACGGAUCGUCGUUGAUUAAGGAGCAGGCGUCUAAUAGUAACGCUUCCUUGUCGACUCUUCUCUCGACCUCCUCACGUGACGCCGCCGAUCUGGUCAAACAGCUGCUGGUGUUUAACCCGACCAAAAGACUUAGCGCGGAACAAGCGCUAAAUCAUGAAUACGUCUCUAAGUUUCACAGAGAAAAAGAUGAAGUAACGUUGGCAUCAGACGUACUGCUUCCCCUGCGAGAUGAUAAGCAACUGUCCGUGGAUGACUACAGGAACAAGUUGUAUAGUAUAAUGGCUAAAGGAUUCCAAAACACAAACGGGCUAACAAGGAAGAGCUAUUCGGGUAAAAGUCACACUCUCAUAUCGACUACUAAAGCGAGUAAGAGUUUCCAAGAAAUGACAGAAAGUACGUAUACAACAUCGAAACAUAUGAGUGCGUCCGCAGGCGUCAAAACGCGGACCAAGACACCAAUAGAGAGACCGUUAAAAGAAUACCGAUCAGACCAAGCUAUUAAACCCGUUAAAGCGACCAAGUCCUUCGAAACCAGAAGUCAGGAGUGGCUCAAUAACAGCCACAGGGAUUACUUCCCAUCCGGACCUAGCCGAGACGUGUACAACAGCGGUAAAAAGUUGCUCCAACAGAGACGUAAUUCAACGUCCUUCUCCACUUUAGGGAUCGGAGAUGCAGUGGGAUUUGGCCAGAAUCAGAAGCACGGGGUGAUAACUGCCAGUGCCCUCAUGGAUCUCCGGACCAGCAUUCGAUGAAACCAAGAAUCUCGAGUGGAAACUUAAAAUGUUGUUAGUUGAUAUAUUUUACAGUCUAGCGUUAGGUUCGAUGUGAAUCUUCAGUUCAAGUUGCUAUCGUCCCGCAGUAAUAACUUUUCGAUUGAAAUGUAGGCAGUUUAUGAAUAACGAGGAUUGCCGCAAGAUAUAAGAAACAUUAUUAUACUACUUUUGAAUAGACUUGUGGACAUGAUUUAAACUUUACUACUUAGUGAGAUUAAUCUGACAAAUCACUGCAAACUUAACGCUAAAGAAGCGCUUACACGGGCAACAAUUGCGGCAAUAAUUGCCCGGUGACACGAAUGGACCGACCUGGAGUAAUUAGUGGAGCAAUAUGGAGCAAAUUCAAUAAUUGCGAGAGUUAUUUUGGC